rnacentral:rRNA from 1 species
AUCGACAGCCAUGCCACCCUGAACGUGCCUGAUCUCGUCUGAUCUCGGAAGCUAAGCAGGGUUGGACCUGGUUAGUAUUUGGAUGGGAGACCACCUAGGAAGACCAAGUGCUAUAGGUG